AUUUGUUUUCCCUACCAGAAAAGACCUACUCAGCCUUUUAACCGGCUGAACUUUGAAGUCCUCAGCCAGCCAGCUGUUCUGCUGUAAGGAUGCGUAAGAAGAGGGUGAAGCAAACUAAAUGUCUAUGAGGAACUCUUCAAAGCUCCCAGGCUGCUGAGUAUCCCGGCCCACCGGACUGAGAAGAAAAAGCUUCACUGACUCUCAACUCAGGAAACACCUUCAAACACUUAAAAUAUGUUCUAGUCUCCUUAAGCACAGUGCUGACAACUGGAUAUUACAGGAUGAAUGGAACCAUUUUUGUGAUCAGGAAGAAGACAGAGGUACAAUGGAAUAACUGCAAGAUAUUGUCACAGAGAAGCUGAAAACUGAAAAGCUUAAUCUACUAAAAUGUAAAUUUCCAUAUUGGUGGAGGCCAUCUCAGAUAAUGAUCAUUGCGAAAAAUGUUCUUAGGAACAGAGCUUAAUCCAGAGAGAAGUAAUUUAUGUGACUACAGAGCUGAGCUAGCCAAUGCACUCCCACACCUAUAGUCCUGGUUUAUACAACUAGAUAUCUGAAAUGCUCCAUAUUCAGAGGUGAAGAAUUUAUUUUGAAAACCUACUUUCACAUACAAAAUGAUCUCUUGAGCUAUUUCUUAUGGUUGAGGUUUGAACUGGUUGAUAUUUACAGUCCUUGAAAUUGUACUAUUUGUUUUGCUUAAAAAAAAGAAUACCUGAUGAGCCAAGUUAGAAUAUACCUUGAAAUGCUGAACUAAAGGUGAAAGGUUUCACAGAAAACUUCUCCUCAUAAGGGAAUAAAAA
rnacentral:lncRNA from 1 species